rnacentral:rRNA from 1 species
AUUGAACGCUAGCGGCAUGCUUUACACAUGCAAGUCGAACGAGUGGCGGACGGGUGAGUAAUAUAUCGGAACGUGCCCAAUAGAGGGGGAUAACUACUGGAAAGAGUGGCUAAUACCGCAUACUAUUGGAUCGACCGAUAUGGGAUUAGCGAGUUGGUGGGGUAAAGGCUCACCAAGGCAACGAUCCGUAGCUGGUCUGAGAGGACGACCAGCCACACUGGGACUGAGACACGGCCCAGACUCCUACGGGAGGCAGCAGUGGGGAAUUUUGGACAAUGGGGGAAAGCCUGAUCCAGCCAUGCCGCGUGUAUGAGAAGGCCUUCGGGUUGUAAAGUACUUUUGGCAGAGAAGCGGUAUCUGCAGAAUAAGCACCGGCUAACUACGUGCCAGCAGCCGCGGUAAUAC